UUGGCAUGACCGACUGGGGUUAUAGGACAGCAACACUGUACAACAGAGACUAGAUGAAGUGUUUGGAAUGACACGCCAAAGAGAGUGAAAGCCUCGUAUUUAAAAAUCAAAGUUGGCAAGCUGAUUCCUGAGUAGCACGGUACACGAGAAAUUCCGUGUGAAUUCGCGAGGACCACCUCGUAAGGCUAAUUACUCACUUGUGACCGAUAGUGAACCAGUACCGCGAGGGAAAGGUGAAAAGAACCCCGGAAGGGGAGUGAAAUAGAACAUGAAACCGUGAGCUUACAAGCAAUGGGAGGACGAUUUAACGUCUGACCGUGUGCCUGUUGAAGAAUGAGCCGGCUACUUAUA
rnacentral:rRNA from 1 species